UUUCCGUAGGUGAACCUGCGGAAGGAUCAUUACCGAGUGAGGGCCCCCUGGGUCCAACCUCCCACCCGUGUUUAUCGUACCUUGUUGCUUCGGCGGGCCCGCCUCACGGCCGCCGGGGGGCUUCUGCCCUCUGGCCCGCGCCCGCCGAAGACACCAUUGAACGCUGUCUGAAGAUUGCAGUCUGAGCAAUUAGCUAAAUAAGUUAAAACUUUCAACAACGGAUCUCUUGGUUCCG
rnacentral:misc_RNA from 1 species